UACAAGGUCACAAAGGUGUGAUAGUAACAGGACCUUGGAGUUUUAGACUUCCCAAGUGUGCCUGUUUAGCAGGAACAGUCCUUAUUUUGGUUCCAAAGCCCUCUGUCCUUUGUUUCUAUCCUAAUGUCCCUCUUUUCCAGAAGCCAUCUAUUGUUGGUGAAUUUGAGCGUAUAAGAGAGCUCCACGGCAGGGGGGAUGGAGCGAUGAUGUAACAUGC